CAACUCGCCUACAUGAAGUCGGAGUUGCUAGUAAUCGCGGAUCAGAAUGCCGCGGUGAAUGCGUUCCCGGGUCUUGUACACACCGCCCGUCACACCAUGGAAGUUGGGGCGCCCGAAGUUGCCUAAGAAAUAAGGUACCUAAGGCGAAACCAAUGACUGGGGUGAAGUCGUAACAAGGUACC
rnacentral:rRNA from 1 species